GAUGAAGAACGUAGCGAAAUGCGAUACUUGGUGUGAAUUGCAGAAUUCAGUGAAUCAUCGAAUCUUUGAACGCACAUUGCGCCCGCUGGUAUUCCGGCGGGCAUGCCUGUUCGAGCGUCAUUUCAACCCUCAAGCCCCCGGGUUUGGUGUUGGGGAUCGGCUCUGCCCUUCUGGGCGGUGCCGCCCCCGAAAUACAUUGGCGGUCUCGCUGCAGCCUCCAUUGCGUAGUAGCUAACACCUCGCAACUGGAACGCGGCGCGGCCAUGCCGUAAAACCCCAACUUCUGAAUGUUGACCUCGGAUCAGGUAGGAAUACCCGCUGAACUUAAGCAUAUCAAUAAGCGGAGGA
rnacentral:misc_RNA from 1 species